rnacentral:rRNA from 1 species
GAUGAACGCUGGCGGCGUGCCUAAUACAUGCAAGUCGAGCGAACGGACGAGAAGCUUGCUUCUCUGAUGUUAGCGGCGGACGGGUGAGUAACACGUGGAUAACCUACCUAUAAGACUGGGAUAACUUCGGGAAACCGGAGCUAAUACCGGAUGAUAUUUUGAACCGCAUGGUUCAAAAGUGAAAGACGGUCUUGCUGUCACUUAUAGAUGGAUCCGCGCUGCAUUAGCUAGUUGGUAAGGUAACGGCUUACCAAGGCAACGAUGCAUAGCCGACCUGAGAGGGUGAUCGGCCACACUGGAACUGAGACACGGUCAAGACUCCUACGGGAGGCAGCAGUAGGGAAUCUUCCGCAAUGGGCGAAAGCCUGACGGAGCAACGCCGCGUGAGUGAUGAAGGUCUUCGGAUCGUAAAACUCUGUUAUUAGGGAAGAACAUAUGUGUAAGUAACUGUGCACAUCUUGACGGUACCUAAUCAGAAAGCCACGGCUAACUACGUGCCAGCAGCCGCGGUAAUACGUAGGUGGCAAGCGUUAUCCGGAAUUAUUGGGCGUAAAGCGCGCGUAGGCGGUUUUUUAAGUCUGAUGUGAAAGCCCACGGCUCAACCGUGGAGGGUCAUUGGAAACUGGAAAACUUGAGUGCAGAAGAGGAAAGUGGAAUUCCAUGUGUAGCGGUGAAAUGCGCAGAGAUAUGGAGGAACACCAGUGGCGAAGGCGACUUUCUGGUCUGUAACUGACGCUGAUGUGCGAAAGCGUGGGGAUCAAACAGGAUUAGAUACCCUGGUAGUCCACGCCGUAAACGAUGAGUGCUAAGUGUUAGGGGGUUUCCGCCCCUUAGUGCUGCAGCUAACGCAUUAAGCACUCCGCCUGGGGAGUACGACCGCAAGGUUGAAACUCAAAGGAAUUGACGGGGACCCGCACAAGCGGUGGAGCAUGUGGUUUAAUUCGAAGCAACGCGAAGAACCUUACCAAAUCUUGACAUCCUUUGACAACUCUAGAGAUAGAGCCUUCCCCUUCGGGGGACAAAGUGACAGGUGGUGCAUGGUUGUCGUCAGCUCGUGUCGUGAGAUGUUGGGUUAAGUCCCGCAACGAGCGCAACCCUUAAGCUUAGUUGCCAUCAUUAAGUUGGGCACUCUAAGUUGACUGCCGGUGACAAACCGGAGGAAGGUGGGGAUGACGUCAAAUCAUCAUGCCCCUUAUGAUUUGGGCUACACACGUGCUACAAUGGACAAUACAAAGGGCAGCGAAACCGCGAGGUCAAGCAAAUCCCGUAAAGUUGUUCUCAGUUCGGAUUGUAGUCUGCAACUCGACUACAUGAAGCUGGAAUCGCUAGUAAUCGUAGAUCAGCAUGCUACGGUGAAUACGUUCCCGGGUCU